CCCGAGGUGGCCCUCUUUGUUCUUCCUUCUUGGUCUUCCCUCUCCCUUCUUCUUCCCUCCCCUUCAGCUGUUAAAUCCUUCUGCUCAACGGAAGAACGGCAGUUGAUACUAUAGGGCUGGAGUGCGGGAGGGGAGAGUGGAACUUCUGGUGGAGCGGUGAAAUGCGUAGAUAUCAGAAGGAACAUCGGCGGCGAAAGCGACUCUCUGGCCCGUAACUGACGCUGAGGUGCGAAAGCUAGGGGAGCAAACGG
rnacentral:rRNA from 1 species